GAAAUUUAAUUAACGACAUUAAUGUGGAGUUUAGAUCCAAAAUAGUUACACCAAAGUCAUGCUUAAGUUUGGCAAGACAGAACCUAGAGGCUUUUCAUAAUCUACUUACAGUGUGAAAGAUUAGAGUAAAUUAAAAAAAAAUGCAUUGAUUUGUUGUAUGUUAUUUAGAUUUAUAUAUAAUAUAAAAUAACCUACUAUAAAAACUUGCAAACAGCAAUUUACUUCCUGUUCUGAUAAAAAUUAAGCUA
rnacentral:misc_RNA from 1 species